GACGAACGCUGGCGGCGUGCCUAAUACAUGCAAGUUGAGCAAUGAAGAUUGGUGCUUGCACCAAUUUGAAGAGCAGCGAACGGGUGAGUAACGCGUGGGGAAUCUGCCUUUGAGCGGGGGACAGCAUUUGGAAACGAAUGCUAAUACCGCAUAAUAACUUUAAACAUAAGUUUUAAGUUUGAAAGAUGCAAUUGCAUCACUCAAAGAUGAUCCCGCGUUGUAUUAGCUAGUUGGUGAGGUAAAGGCUCACCAAGGCGAUGAUACAUAGCCGACCUGAGAGGGUGAUCGGCCACAUUGGGACUGAGACACGGCCCAAACUCCUACGGGAGGCAGCAGUAGGGAAUCUUCGGCAAUAGACGAAAGUCUGACCGAGCAACGCCGCGUGAGUGAAGAAGGUUUUCGGAUCGUAAAACUCUGUUGGUAGAGAAGAACGUUGGUGAGAGUGGAAAGCUCAUCAAGUGACGGUAACUACCCAGAAAGGGACGGCUAACUACGUG
rnacentral:rRNA from 1 species